AGGAGGGUGCGCCUCCCCUCAGCCUCCACCGCGCCAAAACGAGGGGGAGGGUCCUGUUGCUUUUUAUUUAAAGCCGCAAUUAAAAUUAAUCUGGGAGGGCAAUAAUUAGGUAGGAAAUGGAGGGAUGGAUGUAAAAGUAUAUGUGUACUGCGGUGUCAUUACUUGUCGAUGGCGAUUAAGGGAGUCCUGCUGUCUGGAAAUUGGCUUUGCCUCCCAGGAAACCUGAGGGAAGCGCUGCCCUAGUUAAUGCUGCUGUAGCUCUUGGGAGAGGUUUGGAGUGAAAUAGAUACAGGUUUUCUUUUGAAAUAUGCUCUUGAAUAAAUUAGUUUGCGUCCAGAAAUGGCAUCUGUUUUCCCUGGCUCAGAUAUUUUUCUAGAAAAAGUGUUUAGGUAUGCAGCUCACAUGGAAAGUGGGACUAAUAUCUAAGCAGCUUUGAAAAUCGGUGGUGUAUUGUUUUGAGUUAGAAAUGCCUGUUUAAUUCCAAAGUUUGAAUACAGCAAUGCUGUGGGGUCAGUAACCCCUGGAGAAGAAAAGGAUGGGCCCUUAGCUGUAGAUGUUAUGAAGUGGAAAACUUAAGUGUUUGGAAGGGUUACGUGGCUGGGUGUUCAGUGGCACCAUCUAACAACAAAGCUUCUCUUUUCUUUUCAAGGAAGUAGCUGAAAACACUGGCUGCAUCUCUGUGUCUCUUGGAGGUCACUUGCUGAUUUAUCUCCAAUUCGCAGCUCAUUAGAAGGUGUGUAACUCUUCAGAGAUGUUGUUAUUUAACAGCUGAAAGUUAUUAUGUAAAACGGGUAAAUUGGAGUCUUUAAAGGAGCUGCCAACUUAAAUUUGCCUGAGUUUCUUCAGCAGUGGAGAGGAGAGGAAGAAUUCCAGACACGUCAUCCUGAUUUCACAAGUCUGCAGAGAUCUCCAGAGUGGACUUACCCAUCUGUGUGAGCUGCCAAAAGGUGAAGACAACCACUUUAUCUGCAAGAGAAUAUUCAUUUAUGGGACUUCCCUGGUGACAUAGGUUUGAAAUGGGAAAAUGAGCUUAAAGUCUUCUUCAAGAGAGAUUUACUCACAGUUUUCUCCAGUGUCAUUCAGGGGCCAAGCUUUCAAGUCUUCCAGAUUUGGACUUGUUUUGAUUUCAUUGCAAAAUCCUGCAAGAAUUCUGCCAACAGCAAGGCCAAUGUGUCUGAAAAGAGAUGGCAUUUCCAGUACCUAAAGGUUGAUUGCUUUGAGUCUGUAAGGUCAUCAUGGUUGAAGGCAUGAAGAUGAGGACAUCAAAGCCUUUGCCCACUUAUGACAAUUACUCUGGAGACAAACACAGCCCAGAAGACAAAUGUUAUGAGCUACCUGUAAGUUCUGGUUCACAAAACAGAUGAGAAUCCAGAGAUACUUCUGAACUUGGAAAUGAAAUUUAUUCUCAAGGAGGCUUUAUUUCCCGGAGAGUACCACGGGCAAGCAGUGUCUCAGAAUUCACCAGCCAUGGAUGUGAUUGUUCUCCAUUGUCUUGCUGUUCUCAGGUCCUGUGCAUGGAACUGGGAAAGCUUCAAGGUUGAAUUCAAAAUUCCUCAGUUGAUAUCUUAGGUUUCUUCCCUCAUUUGUAGAUAUUUUAUCAGCUCCUUAUCCUGCGUUUAGGUUUACUGACAAAUGAUGUUCUGCACUUGUGCUGGGAUCCUACAGAAGGGUUUAUUGGGAUGAAUGUGCCAGGACUGAUGAACCAGAUCCCAAAAUGCAUUAUGUACAGAAGUGGGCUGAGGUCCUCAAACCUGGGAGGUGCAGCCACGCCAAAGCCAGUGCCAGACACUAAUCCUCUCCUCCAGACACUGAGCUGUGCUGUUUGAGGGAAAAGAAAUGGGGAAAUGAUCCUGGAAUCAAUUCAGACUUGCAAGAACCAUUAUCCUGGAUAUCCAAAUCUACCCAACCCUUUUUACCAAAUGAUUUUUUCCUCUUAGUGCUACAGCCAUACCAACUCUCACGUGCUUAAUGCUGCUUUCCCCAUGUCCUUCAUCCCCUUGGAGAUGAAGAACCUCUCCCGCAGGGACACCACGGUGCCGCUGGGACUCCCAAGGGGCUCGGGCUGGCCCUGGGCACCCAGGAAUGCUCCUCGCAGCCCUGGGCUGCAGCCAGCCCAGGGAAAACCAUCUGUUCCCUUUGGAAAGGGGUUUGCUUCCCCCCGGAGCCCUCCCCCCGCAUCCCGGCUCCGGCCCCAGCUGCCGUGUUUCGAUGAGCACUGAGGGAAUGAAUCUCCUGCGUUUAAAAAUACUCUGCUUCUAUUUAGAUGAAAAGAAGAAUCUUGCUUGCCUACACUGGCAUACAAAAAUAGGCUCAGUGUGAGUAAAUCUUCAAAGUUUCUCUUGGUGAAUAUAUCUAGCCUCACUUUUUUUUUUUUUUAACUUAUAUGAUAAGUUUAUUUAUAGAGUGUCCUUCUUUCCUCCUACUCUAUCAAGACAUUUGCAGAAGGUUGUCGCUCGUCUUGUUCAGGAGUCCUGAAAUAAUUUGCAGUGCCUUUGAAACAUCAUCGUGUUGCAUAGUUGUGAUCAACGUGCUGCUGUUGCAUGAACAUAUCAUAUUUUAAUGUGAAUGUCAGGUUAGCUGAGACAUUCAGGGCUUUCUUUGACUUUAGCUGCUUUACACUGGUUUGUGUUUUCGCUUGAACACUGCAGUAAAAAUUCUGCAUAUAGUAAUUUAAAAUUUUCCAUUUUACAUGCAAGGCAUUGCCUAGAAAAUUAAUGUGUAAUAUGAGAGGAUUAGUAAGAUGUAUACACUUUCCAAACAUCUCUUAAAAAUAGCUUUCACUGUCACUGUAGCAUCUUAAUUCUGAAUAAUCUCACAGUCCUUCUGCAAAUCUGUGCAUGUAGUAACAGAGAAGCCACCUACUUCAUCCUCUUGAACUGCACAAUAUGGAUCUGGGCAUGGAAAAAAAUGGGUUUUGGAGUAGGGCUCUGCUUUGGCAGAGAGGCUGUCUGUGGAACUACUGAGAGCAUUAACGCUUGCAUUAAAUAUUAAAAUCAGCUUUCACAA